rnacentral:rRNA from 1 species
GAUGAUACGCGAGGANCCUUACCUGGGCUUAAAUUGCAGUGGAAUAACGUGGAAACAUGUUAGCCUUCGGGCCGCUGUGAAGGUGCUGCAUGGUUGUCGUCAGCUCGUNCCGUGAGGUGUCGGCUUAAGUGCCAUAACGAGCGCAACCCUCAUCGAUAGUUACUAACAGGUUAAGCUGAGGACUCUAUCGAGACUGCCGACGUAAGUCGUGAGGAAGGUGGGGAUGACGUCAAAUCAGCACGGCCCUUACGUCCAGGGCUACACACGUGUUACAAUGGGGGGUACAAAGGGCAGCUACCUGGCGACAGGAUGCUAAUCUCAAAAACCUCUCUCAGUUCGGAUUGGAGUCUGCAACCCGACUCCAUGAAGCUGGAUUCGCUAGUAAUCGCGCAUCAGCCACGGCGCGGUGAAUACGUUCCCGGGCCUUGUACACACCGCCCGUCAAGCCAUGGGAGCCGGGGGGACCUGAAGUAUGCAACCGUAAGGAGCGUCCUAGGGUAAAACUGGUGACUGGGGCU